UCCGCGGCAUGUGGGAUCUUCCCGGACCGGGGCACGAACCCGUGUCCCCUGCAUCGGCAGGCGGACUGUCAACCACUGCGCCACCAGGGAAGCCCCAGGCCACUUUUUUCUGAAGCAGCAUUUUCCUCGAAAGAAUGACUGCCUGACCAUGGCUGUUCGGGAUCAGAAUGAAAUAUGUCAACAUUUGGAAGAUCUUCGUUGCUCCAAGAGCUGAGUUUCCUACUGAUUAAGACAUCACGGUCCAAAAUCAUGCACAGGGAAAAGCAUGUUUCGUGGGAGGUUUCUACCGGCCCAGGAAGCGGUGAGUAGAGUCGUUAACUGAGAAUAAAGAAGCAGUAGUUCACAACGUUCUAAAAAGAGACACCAACAGUUAGGACCAGACACCUCAGCGUUCCCCCAAAUGGCAGGACUGACCCUGUGGCCCACAACCUGCGCCACAGCCCAGUCUCCUGGUCCCAGCCCACCCACUGGUGAGGAGUCCAGCGGGGCGGGUGUCAGCUGGCUUCCUUGGGCCUCAUUUGCAGUGAGAGCUGAUCCCACCUUCCCUGCUGCAGAGGAUAGGAUGCUUUCUUUCCACUUCAGGAAAUCGGUGAGUUGGAUUCUUCCUGUGAAUGGGACGGGAGCUUCCUGAGAAUCACCGGUCAAGCACGAGGGUCGCUGCAAGCCAAGGCCCUGGCGUCCCAUCCUGGCUUAGACUUGCGCUCGGACAGUGGCUGGUUGGCCGAGCCCUGUGCCCAGCUGAGUUGAAGGGCCUUGUGGUGGCCAGCAGGACUCAGAGAAGGAUAACGGAAAAGUGCCCAUCACUUCCUCCGUUGAGUGUGGCGAGGAAACUGAAUUUCUCCCGUUAGUCAAGUCAACAUCAAAGAAGGGAAAUGGUCGGGUAUGAGCCUUCUUCCUGCCCCCGCAGUGGGAUGCUGCUGGUCGGGGGUGGGGGGACACCUCAUAUGCAUAGAGGAGUCCAGAGUCGGACAUUUGGACGCCUUCUCCACGGAGGUGAGACAACCUAAGCGACCACCUGGAAACAGAGAAGAAGGAGGGAAGGAAGGUGUCCCAGUGGGACCCACAGCCAUGCCGUCCUGUGCUGGUGGGAGCUAGAGAGAAGAGGGGAGAGUCUGUUUCUUCAUAGUCAGGGGAAAAGCUUAACUUCUGAGAACAGUCUCCAAGGGACAAAACAGAAAACAACCCAAGGAAGGGCUGUGCUUCCAGAAAUGGGGAAGUGGUUCCCACAAGCCCAGCCUUGCCUUAUAGAAUGAUCACCUUUCAACAAAACAUAAAACAACAACUGCCUGGAACCUCUGGAGAGAGACCAAAGGUGCAGAAACUAAAGGGAACCAGGUGCCCGGAAAAGGACGGACAGAUGGAGGAUGGACAGAUGGGCCGAGAGCCAGGUGUUCACGCAGGAUCUGGGUACUGAGCGUGGAAGAAGAAGGGAGAUAAAGAUUUGAGGCUAUUUACUUUGUCUCCCCACAUAAGCUAUCCUGUUGAGAUGGACAUCUCCAGAGAGAUGAGUUCAGAGGAAAACCUUGGUGACAGGAAGUGGUGACCCUACCAAACCUGGCCAAAAUGUUGAAUGAAGAAUGUGAAAAAGUCAGCUGAAGGGAGGGUUGAACAAAGUGGGCAAUUGUCGAAAAGUGAUUUACACGAUGUGGACGACUAGAGGAAGUUAAGAAUCAUUUGAACAAAUCAAGUUUGUGUAGAGUUCUCUCGGUCUCAACUUCUCAUCCCUGACGAUGAAAAACGUUACUUUCCUCCUGGUAUAAGGAGCACAUCUUUCAUAGAGGAAUUUAAUUUCCUGCUUUUAAGAGAAUGCAGAAAGACGGAAUCUUCAGCCAGUCUGUCGGAACAGCCUAGUCGGGACUCGUUCAGUCGCCUGCCUGGUCCGCCCCCUGCCAUCCUGGCCCCUAAAGGAAGGCGACCUUGACACAACCAAUCUGCUUUUCGCUGGUGUAACUUUCUUGACGGCUCCCUUCUGCCUGUAGUUCCAUUUUAUACAGCCCCGCAGAGCUCCUUUCUAGCUGCUGGACUCGAUGCUGCUGAUUCGUGAAUCACAGAAUAAAGUCAGUAAGAUUGAAAUUUACUCACUGAACUUGCUUUUUUACACCCCAAAAUUAUUUUUUUAAACUGCCACUAUUUGGUAGACUCAAAAGAGGGCGCCUCAUUGUCAGAGUGAGUUUAGAAAGAGGGGCAGGAAACCUUUCAGAACGCUUACGCCAGUAGCUGCCCACAACUGCCAUCUCCCAGCCGGGGGGCUUCCUCGAAAAGGCACGGGGCUCAUUUCUGGAUGCGUAAGUUCACAUGCAAUAGAUUUCUACCACGUUAUGUCAAUUUUAUUGAAUUUUCAUCUGCUUCCCUAACCACCUUUGGGGGUAAUAAAAGGAAGAGGGACCCAAGAAAGGUACAGCCAGGGAUGCUCCUCAGAUGCAUCUAGUAAUGUUGCCAUGCAUGCUCCUUAGUAUUAAGGAAUUGGAACAGAAUUUCCCCCUCAAGCAGUUUUUUUGAACUAAUCAGGGAGAGAAAUAAGACAAACUCUGAAAUAAAACUGCAUAAACGGCAAAUGAAAACCAUACCAGAAAAAUCCAGGCAAUAUUUUUCUAGUGUUUAAUUGAUCUCAAGGAAGGAAAAAGUCCAGAUUCACAAAAACCUACGUGUAUUGUUUUAUUAUAUACAAAACCAAGCAUACAAUAAUUACACAGCAAAUAACAUGCUGAAUAUUUUCAGGCCAUUUUGAAUGGUGCUCUGUACAUGUACAUGAAUAAGUAAUAAAUGCUGCUUCUCUAUUACCUUGAAAUACGGUACCACCAAGAGUUUUAUAUUUUUAUUUUACUACUCAUGUAAAUGAGCACAAAGGAAAGAGGAAAUAGAUAAUAUUUAAACAUGGAAGGUAGAAAUUCUUCCUUCUGGAAACUAACCAAAUAGGCCUAAGAACCACUACUAAUCAAUGAUAUCCUCUCCCCCAUCUUUUCUGUCAUAGCCACCAAUCCCACCCUAUUCCAGUUAAGUUACAAACCUUCAGCCAGUUUAGUCAUUAAAGAUUUGAGAAGCAGUCUCAACCUAAACAAUUGUAGCUAAUACUGAUAUAUUUUUGUAAUUCAUUUUUGUACUGUUUUUACAACUUUUCCCCCUGAUCCUAAGUUUGAAGCAGUUCUUCUUACAUUCUCUAAACUUUGGGGUGUUUUUUUUUCUACCAUUUAUUUUAUUUUAUUGGAUAAUUUUAAUCGGUUUAAAUGCAACAUGUAUGUAAACAACUCCACAGAAAUGAGAGGCACUUCUUAGAAAUACAAUGGCUCAUGUCACAAGAUUCAAUGGCUUCGAUUUGAUGCACUGAAUGAGCUCCUGACUCAACUCUCCAAUGUUGUCUGCUUGAAUGGCAAGGUCUUUAUCUGCAGCGUUUACUGCAUUAAGAUGCGUGCAUCAGAAAUCAUAAACUUGUGCUUAUCUUUCAUAAUGAACCUAUAUUCAUUAGGAGCUCUGAUCCAAUCACAAUAAUGUUGGUUAAAAUAAACUACGAACCCGAGGCAAAAAAGUAAACAAGCCACUUUUUCAGGCUUUUAAAACUGUCUUAACAUGUGACAUUAUAGCUAUCCCCCCAAAUUAAGCAACCAACUUCAAGUCAAAGAGCUAGGAACACAUGGAACAUUCGAGGCGUUACCUCAGCAUUUCUCAAUCAGCUCAGACAUACACGAGGCCGGGAAAGGUCUCUGAGGGUACCUGCACAGGUGCAUUACUGGUAGAGGCGGCAGCUCAGCAUAAACCCUGUGGGAUUAAUAUCAGGCGUAUAUAUGUGUAUAUAGAUGUGUGUAAAUAUAUGUAACGUGCUUACAGAGAUUUAUCGACCCGGAAUACUUCAUAAAGAGCUGCAUAAAAAUCUAGCAGAGAGGGCUUCCCUGGUGGCGCAGUGGU